ACUCAGCCUCCUCCUAGCAGGUGGAGUGCUCCCUGGCCUGCCUGGAGCAGGAGAGGCACCAGAUGCAGGGAUCCCAGGGACAGGCUGAGUGGAGGAGGCCAGACCAGAACAUAGAAGACAAAUGGGAAAACUGAGACCAGAGAGCAGAGGAGAGCUUGUUCAGAGUCAUAACUUGAGUUGGGGCCAGGACCCUGCCACAACAUGCCCUGAGGCAUCAACGGUCUGCCAAGACCACCCCAGUGUGGUCUGGAAGCUGGAAGGAGACCCCAGGAUUCUGGACCAAGUGUAUCUACAGGAGAUGCUGGUGCCAGGCCUGCAGAUCCAAGAGCAGAGCUGGG
rnacentral:lncRNA from 1 species